AUGCCCAAGAGGAAGGUCAGUUCAGCCGAAGGGGUGGCGAAGCAAGAGCCCAAGAGGAGAUCUGCGCACUUGUCAGCUAAACCUGCUCCUGCAAAAGUGGAAAUGAAGCCAAAGAGGCAUCAGGAAAGGCUAAAUCUUCAGAUUAAAAAAAAAAAAAAAAUGCAAACAAAUGGGAAAAGGGGAGCAUAGGGAAAACAGGCCAAAGUGGCUAACCAAGAAACUAAAUAAGAUUUACCUGCAGAAAACGAAGAAACUAAAACCGAGGAGACUCCAACCUUUGAUGAAGCAGGAGAGAAAGAAGCCAAGUCUGAUU
rnacentral:lncRNA from 1 species